AAAUUCCUGUUCAUUGCGCCGCUUUCGGUGGGCAUCUGGAAGUCGUCAAGUAUUUACUAGAACUCCAACCCGAGACUGUCUCUGCGAAGAACAACGACGGUGACCUUCCUGUUAAUCGUGCUGCCUGGAGUGGAAAGCAAGACGUCGUCAAGUGUCUACUAGAUCUCCAACCAGACACGAUCUCUGUAAAGAACAAUGCCGGUGAAAUUCCUGUUCAUCUCGCCGCUUGCGGUGGGCAUCUGGAAGUCGUCAAGUAUUUACUAGAACUCCAACCCGAGACUGUCUCUGCGAAGAACAACGACGGUGGCCUUCCUGUUCAUUAUGCUGCCUAUAAUGGAAAGCUAGACGUCGUCAAGUAUCUACUAGAUCUCCAACCAGACACGAUCUCUGUAAAGGACAACGACGGUGACCUUCCUGUUAAUCGUGCUGCCUGGAGUGGAAAGCAAGACGUCGUCAAGUGUCUACUAGAUCUCCAACCAGACACGAUCUCUGUAAAGAACAAUGUAA